UUGUUAGGAUGUCGACACCAAUAAAAUUGGAACAAUACAAAGAAGUUUAGUAUGACCCUUGCGCAAGUAUAAAACACAUAAAUCGAGAAAUAGUAAUUUUUAUA